AAUAGCCUGCUCUAUGUUAUACAACUUGCAAUGCUGAUGGAAGCGUAGGUAUACAACUCACAUCCUAAGUUGGUGCGUAAUAUAUAUACGUGAGGCAUGGCCUAGUUCUCAAGGCCAUUGAUGAACCGAGUACUUUCGUCUCUCUCGAUGAGGUCGUUGUGGGUUUUGUUUGGGGCAUUCGUAUUGGCAGUCACAGCAGUUCAUGUCAGCAAGAAGGUUUCCUGAGCAUCGACUGCGGCCUGGAUGCCAAAUUCAGCGGGCGCAAGGACACCCACACAGAUAUCGCCUACGUCUCCGAUGGUCCGUACGUCGACGGCGGGGAAAACCGCAGGGUAGCCGCCGAGUUCGAUACUCCUAGCGCGUCACUCGAGGACCUCCGCACGCUCAGGAGUUUCCCGUCCGGCCUACGGAACUGCUACACGCUCCCCACCAAGAGCGGCGCCAAGUACCUUGUCCGGAUGGUAUUCUUCCACGGGAACUACGACGGCAAGCCAGCCGUGUUCGACCUGCACCUUGGCACCAACUACUGGGAUAGGAUGACGAUCCGAAACAUGACUGACACCCAGUACUGGUGGUCCGAGGCGAUCUUCAUCGCGUGGGCGAGCUGGGUGCCGGUCUGCUGGUGAACACCGGCGGCGGUACGCCGUUCGUCAACACGCUGGAGCUGAGGCCUCUCGGUGCCUCGCUUUACCCGGACCUCACCAUCGACGGCUCCAUGUCCACGUAUGGAAGGAUAAAUACAGGGGGAACUUUACCAGGUAUGUAGUAUGAAACUCUGGUUUUCUGAUGCUACGUAGGGGUACUGUGGGUGCGUUUGGUUGCUGGGCUAUCCCUCGAUUGGCUAGGGAUAGCCAGUUUUUAGAUGGAUAGCAGGUGUUUGGUUCAUUGAUUUAGGUGGGUGGGGAUAGCCAGAUUCCACGAAUAUGCCCUCAAAAACUGGAUGUGCGGAACCGGCGAAAAGUGGCGGAUAUGGGCAGCCGCCCUUCGCUCGGCGCGCUGCCCUACCUCCAAUGGUUUUUCUCCCCAACAGCGUCCGUAGAUCAAGAUGCGGCCGCGGAGGUACGGAGCAGGGCAGCCGGCGGCACCAGACUCCUCUCCCCGGCCGGUGUGCUUGUGUGGUGUGCCUGCUCUGCGCCGGCUGGGUGUGUCUGCUCUGCGCCGACCGGUUGUAUUAGUGUUAAUCCUCUUUCUCAUUUAAUUGCAAGGGCAUGUUCUGCUCGUUUGAUGCUGGCACACAGAUGUCAAACCGCCAUCAGGAACUGAAGAAAUAAUUCCAGAAUAUGAAUGCAAGCGACGGGUUCAGUGGCAUGCGUGACUGUAUCCUACUGCCGCGUCCAAAUUGUGUAAUUGAGAUCUUUUUUGGCAUCAUUUUGUUUUUGCUCAAAGUAGUUGUUAAGAACAAGGUGUAUAAUCUGGGUUUAAAUAUCCCCAGUGGUUCAUAGUAGUAGAAAGUGCAUCUUCAUCAGAGGAUAAUCUCACCACCUCAUGAGAAAGAGGUCAUGUCAACAAGUCUAUCCAUCUCUUAUCCUUUCAACCGAACACAAGGUUGGCUAUC